UUCAAGUAACAUUCUCGAGACUGAACUAGAUGUUUGUGGGAUUCAGGGAGGACGAGUGUUUGUGACUGACUUGAAGUAUAAUCUGCUGGACUUGUACUGCAGCCUGUAAUCCUGGGAUAACUACACUUGCUAUCACUUCAGGUUCUCAGUCCAGAUCCCAAGUUCGUAUUUGAUCUGCCUUCUCCUUCUGAGAUAAAACUCAGGUUCCAUGCUGAGGAUGUCAAACUCCGAGCUUUCCAAAGCAGCUACCUUCUUAAAAUAGACCAAGAGAAUUCCUCUUGUUCAGAUGACAUAAUGAGGCUGAGAUACAAAUGAGGAGGGAAGCAGCAGCAGGAAUACAUCUAGCGGUUAGAAACAUGGGGAAAGUAUCACCAAAUGAGAUUCUACCUGGAAAAUGCAAAUGUAUGCACCUUGGGAUGGGGGAGUGGGGAAACAGGUUUUCAUCAACGAGACAGAAGAUUUGGGAAAUCUAAAGGAGCUGAGAUGUAGUGGAGAGCAAUUCGUCUGUGGCUUCGUGAUGUGACCAGGAAAAAAUGGCUAGUCUGGGCCUGCCUGCAUGAAAGCAGCUUGCCCUUGUACUGUCAGACACUGCACUUGUUGGAUCUGCAAGCCGAAGAAAGGAUUUGUAUUAAAGAACGGCAUUUCUACAACACUUUCCAUUUGAUUAUCUGAGCGCCUUUUAAUAGGCAUGGAAAGUGCUGUGGAACAAUGAACACAGAAGCUGUGCUGUGAUGUUUGCAGCAUGUGUUUCUAUGGAAGUCAUCUUUUCUUACUUCCUUUAUCCAGACAUCAAAAGGAAAAGAAGAACAAAAAGAGGAAGGCAAAGACUGGAGCACACACACAGUGUUUUUCCCUGUCAUCUUUGCCAAAGAAAAGAAGAAAGGAAACAAACAUCAUUGCAUGUAAAUAAUUUUUUUUUCCUUGCUUCUUUCAAAAGAUAUUUUCUUUGGUUAAUUGUAAUUAGGCAGAAGGUACAGAAUUGAUUUAUAUGUCAAACCUAACAGAGACUAUUUUACCAUUCUUGUAAUAAAUAUUUAGACUCCUGAAAAUUUUGAAUCAAACCCUUCGUUCCAGAUACAUGCAUGUUUCAGGGAAUUUCAGAACAGUUACAGGUCUUGUAGGUUGUGUCUGAUAUUAGGUUGAACUAAAGCCAGGAUUUUAAAGUUUGGAAAAUAUAGCUUCAGACUUUUUAGUCAAAGUCCAUUUGAAAAAUACUAAAGAAU